rnacentral:rRNA from 1 species
GAUGAACGCUGGCGGCGUGCCUAAUACAUGCAAGUCGAGCGAACAGACGAGAAGCUUGCUCCUCUGACGUUAGCGGCGGACGGGUGAGUAACACGUGGAUAACCUACCUAUAAGACUGGGAUAACUUCGGGAAACCGGAGCUAAUACCGGAUAAUAUAUUGAACCGCAUGGUUCAAUAGUGAAAGACGGUUUUGAUGUCACUUAUAGAUGGAUCCGCGCCGCAUUAGCUAGUUGGUAAGGUAACGGCUUACCAAGGCAACGAUGCGUAGCCGACCUGAGAGGGUGAUCGGCCACACUGGAACUGAGACACGGUCCAGACUCCUACGGGAGGCAGCAGUAGGGAAUCUUCCGCAAUGGGCGAAAGCUUGACGGAGCAACGCCGCGUGAGUGAUGAAGGUCUUCGGAUCGUAAAACUCUGUUAUUAGGGAAGAACAAAUGUGUAAGUAACUAUGCACGUCUUGACGGUACCUAAUCAGAAAGCCACGGCUAACUACGUG